rnacentral:rRNA from 1 species
UACGAAGGGGGCUAGCGUUGUUCGGAAUCACUGGGCGUAAAGCGCACGCAGGCGGAUCGAUAAGUCAGGGGUGAAAUCCCGGAGCUCAACUUCGGAAUUGCCUUUGAUACUGUCUGUCUUGAGUCCGGGAGAGGUGAGUGGAAUUCCUAGUGUAGAGGUGAAAUUCGUAGAUAUUAGGAAGAACACCAGUGGCGAAGGCGGCUCACUGGCCCGGUACUGACGCUCAUGUGCGAAAGCGUGGGGAGCAAACAGGG